CAGGGAGACAACAAAAUGUUUAAUAUUAUUAUUUUGUCACCUUAGGUCGAUCGGUACCUCACGUUUUUAAUUUAUUAAGAAUUUCAUUUCCUAAGUUUUUCUAGGUCACACCCAUUAUUUUUCCUGGGCCAUUAGCUCAGGUGGUUAGAGCGCACCCCUGAUAAGGGUGAGGUCCCUGGUUCAAGUCCAGGAUGGCCCAUAUCUCUAUGUUGGGGGUAUAGCUCAGUUGGUAGAGCGCCUGCUUUGCAAGCAGGAUGUCAGCGGUUCGAGUCCGCUUACCUCCACUGAUUACCACCUCUUCCAUAACAGGUAGAAAGGAAAUUUUUUGAGUUGUGAUCUAAUUCUGAAAGAAUCUAGCUUCCUAAUGAAAUCAUUAAGAUGCUGGACUCAUUGAAUUAAUUUCAUUGUUUUCAGAGAACCUUGACAACUGCAUAGAUUAUUUUAAAAGACAAUAAGCAUCUUUAAUGAUGCAGAUUUAUUAUUUGUGCGAAUGCAUUAAUAACAAUUCUAUUAAGCUGAUGCUUCAAUUUUUGAAGUUAUU
rnacentral:tRNA from 1 species